GUUGAGUGCCUGGACACGACGUGCUACUUCUCAACAUUCCCCUUGAGCUAAUGCUAAGGAAGUUAGCAUGUCUGUAAAUGAACGUGGACUCCCACUCAGAACCGAGUGCCCAAACAAAGCACCUUCAUCAAUGUGACUGUUAAAUAAUCCACCAUGGAGCCAAAGAACAUUGCGAGUGCUCGCAUUUUCAUAAAGAAGUCUCCUUUCUAGAGCAGCUGCACUGUUCUUCAGCACCACCGUGUAGAAGCCAGCAUCCCCAGGACCAACAUCCCUGAUCUCCAAAGCGUGGUUAAGACAUCCAGCUGGUGCUGGUGCUGUCAAAAAACAACUUGCUGGAAUUUCCUCUCUCUGUAAGGACAGCAGUGACAAGCAUCUUCCAGCUCACCCCUUUAAGAUGAAGUGAGUACUGCAAGUGCCUCCCGUAUGACAGUUCUAUGUAUUUUAGUGUCCAAUUAGCAAGAAUAAUGAGGUCACACUUACAAUGAAGACAUUACACAGGCUGUAGAAAGUCAUGGUGUAU